AGAGUUUGAUCAUGGCUCAGAAUGAACGCUGGCGGCGUGCUUAACACAUGCAAGUCGCACGAGAACGCUCCUGCUUGCAGGAGCUAGUAAAGUGGCGCACGGGUGAGUAACGCGUGGGUAACCUACCUCCGAAUUGGGGAUAACAUUGCGAAAGCGAUGCUAAUACCGAAUAAUAUCCAACUUCCUCCGGGUUGUUGGAUCAAAGGUGGCCUCUACAUGUAAGCUACCGUUCGGAGAUGGGCCCGCGUCCCAUUAGCUUGUUGGUGGGGUAACGGCCUACCAAGGCUACGAUGGGUAGCUGGUCUGAGAGGAUGAUCAGCCACACUGGAACUGACACACGGUCCAGACUCCUACGGGAGGCAGCAGUGAGGAAUUUUGCGCAAUGGGCGAAAGCCUGACGCAGCAACGCCGCGUGAGUGAUGAAGGCCUUCGGGUCGUAAAGCUCUGUCAAGUGGGAAGAACCCACAUGAUGCUAAUACCAUCAUGUGCUGACGGUACCACUGAAGGAAGCACCGGCUAACUCCGUGCCAGCAGCCGCGGUAAUACGGGGGGUGCAAGCGUUAUUCGGAAUCACUGGGCGUAAAGAGCGCGUAGGCGGCCUGGUAAGUCAAAUGUGAAAGCCCGGGGCUCAACCCCGGAAGUGCAUUUGAUACUGUCAGGCUUGAGUAUGGGAGAGGGAAGUGGAAUUCCUGGUGUAGAGGUGAAAUUCGUAGAUAUCAGGAGGAACACCGGUGGCGAAAGCGACUUCCUGGACCAAUACUGACGCUGAGGCGCGAAAGCGUGGGGAGCAAACAGGAUUAGA
rnacentral:rRNA from 1 species